AUUGAACGCUGGCGGCAGGCCUAACACAUGCAAGUCGAGCGGGGUUUUCGGACCUAGCGGCGGACGGGGUGAGUAAUGCGUAGGAAGCUACCCGAUAGAGGGGGAUACCAGUUGGAAACGACUGUUAAUACCGCAUAAUGUCUACGGACCAAAGUGUGGGACCUUCGGGCCACAUGCUAUCGGAUGCGCCUACGUGGGAUUAGCUAGUUGGUGGGGUAAUGGCUCACCAAGGCGACGAUCCCUAGCUGGUUUGAGAGGAUGAUCAGCCACACUGGAACUGAGACACGGUCCAGACUCCUACGGGAGGCAGCAGUGGGGGAAUAUUGGACAAUGGGCGCAAGCCUGAUCCAGCCAUGCCGCGUGUGUGAAGAAGGCCU
rnacentral:rRNA from 1 species